rnacentral:rRNA from 1 species
GUCCACGCCGUAAACGUUGGGCACUAGGUGUGGGGUUCUAUCGACGGAUUCCGUGCCGUAGCUAACGCAUUAAGUGCCCCGCCUGGGGAGUACGGCCGCAAGGCUAAAACUCAAAGGAAUUGACGGGGCCCGCACAAGCGGCGGAGCAUGUUGCUUAAUUCGAUGCAACGCGAAGAACCUUACCUGGGUUUGACAUGUAGGGAAAAGCCGUAGAGAUACGGUGUCCUUCGGGCCCGUACACAGGUGGUGCAUGGCUGUCGU